rnacentral:lncRNA from 1 species
GUUAACCUAGCCGCUUACACAGUUUCCAGUGCCUCCGAGGGGCCGGGACUCAUGGAGGUCGGAGUUUCAAAGAUGUUCCGUGGAAGCUGCUGGAGACACAAUAACCAUUUUGAGGAGGAGAGCCAAGCUGUCUGGAACCACUGUCUGCAAGGGCUUCUCUCCCAUCCCAGCAAGGGUACCCCGCAAUCAGAGCACCUCUGGCCGUGGGCUGCCCGGAUAAACACUGAGGGAGGCGGAGUGGUCAUUAGCUGAGGGCAGAGACUCUAGCGGUCCCCACGCAGCCCGAAGUGAGUGCAGCUCUUGCCCUCGAUCUCCUGGGAACUCUGUGAUGUGAGGGGGAAGAGGUCAGGGCUCAGCCAGGUCACGGUGCACAGCGGGAG